rnacentral:tRNA from 1 species
CUUACUUUAGUUUAAUUACAGAAUGUGGGUUUUGGGAAUCCUUGGUCUCGUUGAGAGGUUUGG